UGCAAGUCGAACGAAGUAGCAAUACUUAGUGGCAGACGGGUGAGUAACAUGUGGGUAUCUACCCUUUGGCCUGGAAUAACACGAGGAAACUUGUGCUAAUACCGGAUAAGUCUUUACGGAGAAAGCUUUAUGCACCAUUGGAUGAGCCCGCACUUGAUUAGUUUGUUGGUAGGGUAAUGGCCUACCAAGACUAUGAUCAAUAGCUGAUUUGAGAGGAUGAUCAGCCACAUUGGGACUGAGACACGGCCCAAACUCCUACGGGAGGCAGCAGUGGGGAAUCUUGCACAAUGGAGGAAACUCUGAUGCAGCGAUGCCGCGUGAGUGAAGAAGGCCUUUGGGUUGUAAAGCUCUUUCGUCGGGGAAGAAAAUGACUGUACCCGAAUAAGAAGGUCCGGCUAACUUCGUGCCAGCAGCCGCGGUAAUACGAAGGGACCUAGCGUAGUUCGGAAUUACUGGGCUUAAAGAGUUCGUAGGUGGUUGAAAAAGUUGGUGGUGAAAUCCCAGAGCUUAACUCUGGAACUGCCAUCAAAACUUUUCAGCUAGAGUAUGAUAGAGGAAAGCAGAAUUUCUAGUGUAGAGGUGAAAUUCGUAGAUAUUAGAAAGAAUACCAAUUGCGAAGGCAGCUUUCUGGAUCAUUACUGACACUGA
rnacentral:rRNA from 1 species